rnacentral:rRNA from 1 species
UACGAAGGGGGCUAGCGUUGUUCGGAAUUACUGGGCGUAAAGCGCGCGCAGGCGGUCUUCCAAGUCAGUGGUGAAAGCCUGGAGCUCAACUCCAGAACUGCCAUUGAAACUGUUAGACUUGAGUACGAGAGAGGUGAGUGGAAUUCCCAGUGUAGAGGUGAAAUUCGUAGAUAUUGGGAAGAACACCAGUGGCGAAGGCGGACUCACUGGCUCGUAACUGACGCUGAGGCGCGAAAAGCUAGGGGAGCAAACA